ACAUCCUAGCUUUCUUCCUUCUCUAAUUCUGGUUUCAUGCAACUUUUAUCGGGUUUGAAACAAAAACUGAAGGUUAUGUUGAUAUCUACAUACAUGGCCAAAAAAUCUAAAGAUUUCACAACUUUGGUUCAGUUUGUUCAUCGUCGUGUUAUAUACUCAUCAAACUCAUCUUCUUAUUUGUUCAAGGAUUUGAGGAUCUAACUUUCAACCCACAGACUGCAGAAGAAUAAUACUGUAGAUUGUUGACGUGGGAGGCUUAAAGGGGUGAAGGUUUAUUCAUCUGGAAAGUAGACGUUGACAGAGAUAGCAAAAUAAGGAGAUGACGUCGUUAAAGACCAUUGACUCCAACGAAAUGGCAAGGCGAGGUUCAAUGGAAUCAAUCAUGUAUACACUAAACUUUGAGUUUUAAUCAAAAAACCAAGACUCAAUGUUUUACAAAUGACCAUAUAUCCUCAAGUCUCUAAUCUCACGGCACCUCUAUUCCCAACAACACACCAAUUAUUCAGACUUUGUAUAAUAGAAGCUAGACCACAUACAAACAGUUUGGCUGACAUCUUCUCCAACACAAUUGUCCUACCUACUCUUCACUUCGUCUUUAUUUUUUUGUAUCAAAACAAUUUACACUUUCUAAAAAGUUAUUGGUAAUUCAUUUUGAACAUCUAAACAUU